rnacentral:tRNA from 1 species
GGUCGAUUAGCUCAGCUGGUUAGAGCGCCACAUUGACAUUGUGGAGGUCACAGGUUCGAGUCCUGUAUCGACCACCA